CUGUGUGCGUGUGUCGCUUGCGCGAGCGCCGGCCGUCGCCCCGUCGGCGCUGUUUGUACUCGGGCAGAUCCUCACUGCCUACGCUAAUCCAAGGACGGCGAAACACACCGCAGCAAAGCGAGCAUCUUUGUAAACGAGCAGGAACCAGGUUGCCAACACACGCACGAAGAGCAACUGCCUUUCCAACUGUGCUGUGUGUGCUGCGCUUGCAUUGGUGUGCAAGUGGAGGAGAGGUCCAGUUAAUGUCGUGCUGCACUAUAAUAGCCGUCGAAAUAUUCUGCUUAAGACAUUUAUCACUUUUCUGAAAUCCUAACAGCUCAAACAUCACCCCUAAAAGCAGUUUGAGUGCAUGUAUUUGCCUUCAUAGACACGUUGUAGCUGAAGUCAUUGUAUUUUUCAUCCAGA